rnacentral:rRNA from 1 species
GACAGAGGGUGCAAACGUUGCUCGGAAUUACUGGGCGUAAAGAGCGUGUAGGCGGCUAGAUAGGUCCGUUGUGAAAACUCGAGGCUCAACCUCGAGACGUCGAUGGAAACCAUCUGGCUAGAGUCCGGAAGAGGAGUGUGGAAUUCCUGGUGUAGCGGUGAAAUGCGCAGAUAUCAGGAGGAACACCAAUGGCGAAGGCAGCACUCUGGGACGUGACUGACGCUGAGACGCGAAAGCGUGGGGAGCAAACAGG